rnacentral:sRNA from 1 species
GCGCAGGGAGAUCGAACGCGCGCCUUUGAUCAGACUCGUAAGCUGCAGGACGUCUCGGUGCCUCCGAGUGCGGAAUACGGGAAAUUGAAAAAUGAACGUUUCCAGAAGUUACAAAAAUGGAGGGAAGAACGUGACAGAAAGAAACAAUUGGAGGCUGCCAAGAAGAAGCCUGCUUUUAAAGUUGGUGUUGUUCACCAUUCUCUAUCUUCUCCUUGGAAUAUAACAUCCACAAAAUCACCUACAAAAGCGAAGCAAGCAAAGCGUCAGAAUGAUGUGCCAAAACGGAUUACCAGAGCUACGGAAAAGCGAUUGUUGGCUAAGAAUCUACUUAUUAAGCAAGUAGCAACGGGCUCAAAAGACGUAGCUUCCACUUCGGCAAAACAGCAUCUCAAUUCAAACGCCCAAAAUGUCAAAACAUCCGAUAAGAAGAAGCCAAAAUCAUUUGCUCCCGCUAAUCACGAGUUCAGACCCCCAUCUGGACUGCAAAAGCUGCCUCUCUUUGGUCUUGUACCAGUUGAGGAAACCCCGCAGGAGAAAGGAGAUUCUUUGUAAAAGGCAAACAAGCUGACUUCAAUCUAUUCGACACAAAUAACAUUAAGAGUGAGCUGAAAGUCGAGCCGUCGGAAGAAUUAAAUACAAACAUCUCUGGUAAUAGUAGGAGUGUAGGAAUCAAAACCUCAAGUCCAAAGUCGUCGUCGAAUAAACGAAAAUCACAGCAAAAGCUAAAUGAACCGGUUCCCGAUCUAAAUAGCACGUUCGAAAUCAAAGAAACAAUAACAGCGUCAAGUAAACACGAGAAUAUAAAGAGAAAUGCCCCGCAGGAGGGACAACCUUCAUCGAACGAUAACAAUACGAAGACGCCAUCGCGCGAGGCUGAUUCAGCCGAGUCAGUUGAUGUCAACAAAGGCAACCGCGAUACGGAAAAUCUCAUUUCCUUCUCACCGUACCUCACGCUGAGUCGUGGCAAGAAAAACGCUAGGAAGGAGCAACAGCAGCGACUUGGCAUCGGUCGUUCACCGUCCGACGCAAUCCCGACCAAAGAGACCGUAAUGAAAAACUUAAACAUAUCUGCCGAGGAGGAGGAACGCACUGCUCAGUACUUCAAGUAUAUUCUGAAAAAGGAGACCGACAAGUUCCAGGAUCUGUGCAGGAAAUGGUUGGACAUCCAGACAUCGGAGCAGGAUGUACCAGAAGACGCUGCGUACGAAAUCAAUCAAGCGGUGGGGUAGACGAAUUUGCUGAUAAAUAAAAAGUUCGAAAGGUUUCGCGGCUUGGUGCAGGACUGCGAAACCGGCAGGGGAGAGAUGCUGGUCACGUGUAGGGACUUGCAGGGAUUUUGGGACAUGACGUACAUAGAAGUCGCAAAUUGCGACGCGCGAUUCGCGAAGUUGGAGGAACGUCGCGACAGACAGUGGCAGGAGGACGACUGCACUGCUGCUAAGCUCGGUGCCUGCAAAAAGAAGCGAAUGCCUGCGAAAAAACAGAUCGCGCCAAACAGAUCAAAGCCAAGCGCACUGCGGUCAAUGAUCUUAGCUGCCAGAAAGAAGAAGAUGGAAACGGGAACAAGUCCACUGAAUAAAGAAGAUCCGCUGCAGGACGCGAAUAAGGAGCGCGCCUUCACUUCUUCGCCGAGCAGUAGGAAAUCCACGUCCUCCAAGGAAAACGAUUUCAUUCGGCGUAAGAUAAGAUCCAAAUCCAUCGGUUCAAACCCACGCAAGUCACCUUUCGCGCGAGACGAAAAUGCGAAGAUAAAUUUGCUACAGUUGCAUCGCGCUAGCGCGUCCAAAAAGCUGAGGAGUCCAUUCGCAGCUAUGAAGAUAAGUCAAAUGUGUAAGACGCCCGAGGUCCAAUUGGAUGACACGAUAACGUACGUUAAUUCCGGCCAAACGCCGGGUAAAAGUAUAUUAAAGAAAUCGAAGGACCUAAGUAAGGAAGCUCGUAUCAAAUCUGCACACAAGGUCAAUUUUGAUGAUGCGAUAGUUCGAAGAAGGGAGGUUCCUCUUGAUGAGGAAGCGCAGACUAAAUUAAGCCUAGCCGCUGCGUUAAGCGGAAUAGACAAUCUCUAAUUGGACGAAUUAAGCGUGGAAGAAAGUAUUAACGCUGAGAAAAGGUUGAGCUUCGAAGCUGAAGAUUCUGACAAUUCUAUGAAUUCCAAUAGUUUUGAUGAAUUUGCGGUCGAGGUAUCGAUGCAGAUCGAGAAUCGACAAUCCAAAUCACCUGUUCAGAAUACUUUAGAUCUUGAUGUACACUCGCGUAAUGACGUAACGCUAUCUUGUAAGAAAACGGCGACGGACGAUGGAGAGAUUGUAGCGUCUAGGAAACGUUCAAGGCAUUGAACUCGACGUGUCAAUAUAUCGGACGAGGAAGUAGAAUAUAAUGUAAAUGUGUUGCCUGCAACGCUGUUAAAAACUUAAUGUCGGAACUCCCGUUAACUCGGAGACAAUCUCAAAUGCAGAACUGGAACGAGAUAACGAGUCGGAAAUAAAAGUACUUAGAAAUAGAACCAUCAGGACAAACGAUAGUGUGAAGAUUAACAGGACAAGCAAAUUGAUGACACGGAGAAAAGGAAGUGUUAGUAAAAAGGAAAAUAAGAGUCCUGUGAAGACAAGUAGAAAGAGUUGAAAUUGUUACAGGAUGACAAAAAUACAAUGGAAAAUACAAUAUAUGAUGUUGACAAGAGGAGAAGAUUAUCCGGAAAGUGUCGCAUUUAAAUUAAUUUAAUGGUAAAAUGUCGGCGGAACUUAUUGUUUUACAUAAUUAAACUUGUAUUGAUUUACUACCUUGUACGUUUAUUUAUAUUUUCUUGCAGCUGAAACAUGCUUAGUGUGUUCCGAAAACAAACUCGUGCUACCUAUAACUCCACAUGCCAAACGUCGAAGCAAGACUCCUUCAAGACUAAGUCGAGGCAAACGUACAUUUGAUGGCGAUCUUAUCUCAUUGGAUACACCAGAACCUCGUAAGUUCUAUCAGUACAAAUGUACAAAGAGGCAUAACGAUCAAAGAGGAGAGAGAGAUAUCGUAUUAAUUAAACACUUUCUUUCAGCGCCAAGGAUCACGAGAUCUCAUAUGAAAAAUAACUAACACCUUUAUUGUUUACAUAGAUAUUUGUUACACGGUGUAUUUAUAAGAGACCGUACGUUAUAUUGAGCCUUUGUAUAGUGAUACGCAUUACAGGAGAGCACAUGGAGAAAUCAGGACAUAGUUAAAAACAUAUCGACGCACUUUUUUAACGUAAUUGACAAUUCUCGAUAUAAAACUUUCAUAAGUGUUUUCUAAUUUUAUAUAUGCGAACGAUAUUUUUCCUAUUAAUUUAACAUUUUAGCAAUUGAUCGAUUUAGAAAUAAUAAUUAUAUAAUUUUUUAAUGGAAUAAAUGUGUCAGUGGAAGGGUCGUUAAAAGAAGUUAUUUAUUAUUAUUAAUUAUACCAUUUCUCCAUUGUAAAAAGAAAUAAAACUAUGGAAUAUAAAAAUUAAAUUAUUAAUAUCCUAAUAUAUAUUUACAGAUGUAUGAAUACUAAUGAUAAUAACUCUGUAUAAAUACAGACUGUUCUGUUGCUUA